rnacentral:rRNA from 1 species
ACUCCUACGGGAGGCAGCAGUGGGGAUAUUGCACAAUGGGCGAAAGCCUGAUGCAGCAACGCCGCGUGAGCGAUGAAGGCCUUCGGGUCGUAAAGCUCUGUCCUAUGGGAAGAUAAUGACGGUACCAUAGGAGGAAGCCCCGGCUAACUACGUGCCAGCAGCCGCGGUAAUACGUAGGGGGCAAGCGUUAUCCGGAAUUACUGGGCGUAAAGGGUGCGUAGGCGGUUUAUCAAGUCAGGGGUGAAAGGCUAUGGCUCAACCGUAGUGAGCCUCUGAAACUGGUGAACUUGAGUGUAGGAGAGGAAAGUGGAAUUCCCAGUGUAGCGGUGAAAUGCGUAGAUAUUGGGAGGAACACCAGUGGCGAAGGCGACUUUCUGGACUACAACUGACGCUGAGGCACGAAAGCGUGGGGAGCAAACAGGAUUAGAUACCCUGGUAGUC